UACGGAGGGUGCAAGCGUUAAUCGGAAUUACUGGGCGUAAAGCGUGCGCAGGCGGUUUGUUAAGUCCGCUGUGAAAUCCCCGAGCUCAACUUGGGAAUUGCAGUGGAUACUGGCAAGCUGGAGUAUGGUAGAGGAAGGUGGAAUUCCCGGUGUAGCAGUGAAAUGCGUAGAGAUCGGGAGGAACACCGGUGGCGAAGGCGGAUCUCUGGGCCGAUACUGACGCUGAGGAGCGAAAGCGUGGGGAGCGAACAGG
rnacentral:rRNA from 1 species